rnacentral:rRNA from 1 species
UACGGAAGGCAGCAGUGGGGAAUAUUGCACAAUGGGCGCAAGCCUGAUGCAGCCAUGCCGCGUGUAUGAAGAAGGCCUUCGGGUUGUAAAGUACUUUCAGUCGUGAGGAAGGUGUUAAGGUUAAUAACCUUAGCAAUUGACGUUAGCGACAGAAGAAGCACCGGCUAACUCCGUGCCAGCAGCCGCGGUAAUACGGAGGGUGCGAGCGUUAAUCGGAAUUACUGGGCGUAAAGGGCACGCAGGCGGUUAAUUAAGUUGGAUGUGAAAUCCCCGGGCUUAACCUGGGAAUGGCAUUCAAGACUGGUUAGCUAGAGUCUUGUAGAGGGGGUUAGAAUUCCAUGUGUAGCGGUGAAAUGCGUAGAGAUGUGGAGGAAUACCGGUGGCGAAGGCGGCCCCUGGGACAAAGACUGACGCUCAUGUGCGAAAGCGUGGGGAGCAAAC